rnacentral:RNase_P_RNA from 1 species
UUAGCUCAUCAGCGGGGCCAUGCGCCAGUGCUUGUCACUCCCAGGCCCCUGGAAAGGUCUGAGACUGGGGCCUCCUGCAGCCCUAACCGGGCUCUCUCUGAGCAUGGAGUUGAGUUCCCAGAGAGCAUGGCUCCACGCGUGGGCAGACUGGGCAGGAGAGGCCCCGAGUGGGCAGAUGCCUCCCUCGCUGGAGCUUGGAAAAGGACUGGGUUUCUUUUCAGUUGUUUGAGAAUAGUUUUGUAA